GUGGUAGCAUGAUAUAUUCUAUGGAAAGCUGCUUUAUUCUACAGCUCUCUUAUUUGCUCAAACAAACUUUGAAGGAGAGCAGACUGAAAAUUACUAAUGCAGAGAAUGUAGAAAGAAACAAAGAGAAAUAUCAGAGAUGAACUCGGUUAUCUUCAUGAAAGUACUUGAUACUAAAUGAAAUACUUUGAGGUACAGAAGCCAAGAGAUAAGGGAUUAAUCAAGAAAUCACUGAAGAGGAUGCCUGUCAUGGCUGGAUGGGAAACUACACAUGAAAAAAUCCUUCCCUUGUAACUUGGAAGUGUUUUGAAGCAGGCUUUCUUGACGCCUUCACCUUAGACAGUAACAAAAUACAAGUUGACAUUUAUGGUUAAUAAACGAUCCAGAUAGCAGCUAACAAAUUGUUUUGUGUCCCUGAAUUUGUCAGGUUCAAUAUGGUUAUGUGUAAUAGUGAAAAAAAAAAAACAGGUUUGAGAUGACAUAAUCUGUAGUCUACAAUAAUCAUCCUCUAAAUGUGAGAAAUUUGAAAGUCUGGCAUUACUUUUUUAUAAACAAGGCCUUAACAGUUUCCAAAAAACCUAUAAAAUCAUAAAGCAGAUAAUUCACUCUUAUCUCCUAGGGAGUUCAUCUUGUUUAGCAUCACUUAACCUACCUAUGAUAUCUCAGGACAGGACUCUGAGGAGUUUCCUUGCUUGUUUAA
rnacentral:lncRNA from 1 species